AACGAACGUUGGCGGCAGGCCUAACACAUGCAAGUCGAGCGCCCCGCAAGGGGAGCGGCGGACGGGUGAGUAACGCGUGGGAACGUGCCCUUUGCUACGGAAUAGCCCCGGGAAACUGGGAGUAAUACCGUAUAAGCCCUACGGGGGAAAGAUUUAUCGGCAAAGGAUCGGCCCGCGUUGGAUUAGGUAGUUGGUGGGGUAAUGGCCUACCAUGCCGACGAUCCAUAGCUGGUUUGAGAGGAUGAUCAGCCACACUGGGACUGAGACACGGCCCAGACUCCUACGGGAGGCAGCAGUGGGGAAUCUUAGACAAUGGGCGCAAGCCUGAUCUAGCCAUGCCGCGUGAGCGAUGAAGGCCUUAGGGUUGUAAAGCUCUUUCGUGGGGGAAGAUAAUGACUGUACCCCAAGAAGAAGCCCCGGCUAACUCCGUGCCAGCCGCCGCGGUAAGAC
rnacentral:rRNA from 1 species